AUUGAACGCUGGCGGCAUGCCUUACACAUGCAAGUCGAACGGCAGCACGGGGGCAACCCUGGUGGCGAGUGGCGAACGGGUGAGUAAUGCAUCGGAACGUGCCCAGUAGUGGGGGAUAGCUAGUCGAAAGAUUAGCUAAUACCGCAUACGACCUGUGGGUGAAAGCGGGGGAUUCGCAAGAACCUCGCGCUAUCGGAGCGGCCGAUGUCUGAUUAGCUAGUGGCGGGGUAAAGCCCACCAAGGCUUCGAUCAGUAGCUGGUCUGAGAGGACGACCAGCCACACUGGGACUGAGACACGGCCCAGACUCCUACGGGAGGCAGCAGUGGAGAAUUUUGGACAAUGGGCGCAAGCCUGAUCCAGCCAUGCCGCGUGC
rnacentral:rRNA from 1 species